UACGGGGGGGCAAGCGUUGUUCGGAAUUCCUGGGCGUAAAGGGCUCGUAGGUGGCCAACUAAGUCAGACGUGAAAUCCCUCGGCUUAACCGGGGAACUGCAUCUGAUACUGGAUGGCUUGAGUUUGGGAGAGGGAUGCGGAAUUCCAGGUGUAGCGGUGAAAUGCGUAGAUAUCUGGAGGAACACCGGUGGCGAAGGCGGCAUCCUGGACCAACACUGACACUGAGGAGCGAAAGCCAGGGGAGCAAACGGG
rnacentral:rRNA from 1 species